GUGUGGGGGGCGGGGAACAGGAAAACGAUAGGGCGUGGUCUCGAGAGUGGGACGGGGCUACGGGGUAGAGGCGCAGCGUAGGCCGGGCCGCUUCAGCCAAGGUAGGGCGAGACCAGAACUUUGCUGACCGCGCGCGCACUCGGUGACGGUUUAGUUCGAGAGGGUGGUCUGGCGCAAGUACCACUGGGAGAGACCCUAGGUCUGCAACCAUCAAAGAGCGCUGGGCUGGCACACUGAGCGGACGGCCCGCCCCAGCUGCCUCCCACCCCUUAGCAGUCCAGCGGGGCCAGGGUUACGGGAGGCGGGUCUUUCCGCCUGGUCAGCUCAGUACUGGAGGCCCUUCACUCUUCGCUGCUCACGGCAGGACAGAAACAGAUGUCGGUGGACAGGAUCAGGCUCAUCAGGAGCCAUGCCCCUAGCGACAUGCAGCCCCUCACUUUCCCCUUUCUUAAUACCACUGCCCCCAGCUGCCCAGGACCCUGAGAAGGUGGGCUGGGGGUCUGCUCUGAGCAGUAGGGACUCAGACAGGACCAGGGCAUACAACAGGCAUCCAAUAAAUGCUGGCUGUCACCUGGCAGGAGCCACGGUCUCCAGUGCUGUGGCCUGGGGCUGGCCAAGGCCCUACCGGGAUGCAAACACUUCUCCCUUGAUUUCUCCCAGACACCAUCCAGGAUCCAGGGAUGUCCUGCAGUCAUCACAUGGAAGCCACAGGCCUCUCCAGAAACCAUCUUCCCACCAAUGUCAGUGUAACACGUGAGUGACAUAGCAGCAAAGGUGAAGAACCUGGGCAGAGCUGACCCAUGGCAGCAUCCAGCAGUGUGGCAGCCUAUUCUGUGACUGCCACAUUACCCUCAUUGUCCUGGGGACUGGCAAGAAGGUACAGACAUGUUCCUGAGAGAUACCUUGGCACCUUGGGAUCAACUGAAAGUCUAUUGACAUGGGAGCAAGCAAACUCUCGUCACUCUCACUUGGGCCCUCUUUGGGCCCUGACUCUGUGUCUGGCAUACCCUUUGAUGGGUCCUGCCUCUUCUUGGCUUCACUCCUGUGUGGCAGGUGUGUCUUCAGGCUACCAUGAUGUAUUAUUCUUGCUGUUUGGAGUUCUCUCAACCACUUGUUACUGAACUUCUCAAUGCCAAACUAAGGGGUUGGAGGCAGGAGCAAGGCUUUGUCUCAAACAACUUCAUGUCAGCUAGGGUGAAUGCUUCAUAAAUAACAGCUGACAUGACUGCCACCAUAGCAAUGAGUGGCCCUGAUGGCUUCUGAACCCAGGACAGAUCUCAGCUAGGUAUCUGCUCCCUUUCUCUGGAGUAAGGAAGACCACCCACAGAGGGGCAGUGAGCCACUCAGCCUUGCUAGUAGGGGUUCUCAGGAUCAAGUGCUGUGGUCACUGCAUGCCCGCUCUGGCUCAGGGUCAGGGUUACUAUCUGCUGUGGGCACUAGUCAGCUGAUGUAUGCCUGUCCCCUAGGGGAAGCACUCACAUCCAUGUCCCUUUGCACCCAACAAACCUGUUACAGCACCCUUGUCCCUGCCAACCCCCAGAAGUCAAGAGCCAAGACCCUGUGUAACUCAGUAGAGGACUUGCCUAGUGUGCAUAAGGCCCUGGUUCCAUCCCCAGUACUGAAAGAAAAUCCAGGUCACCAAGGCUAACAGGAAAGCAGUGACAACAGGUCAGGCCACAAGGAUGGGGCUCAGCCAUCUCUCCACUAUGGUGGCCCCACAUCUCCCUCCCAGGGUACCAUCCACGCCUUUUGACUAAGGUCUGAUCCCUGCUGCUGCCCUAAAGGGAGUCCUCCUCACACUGUCUCUAAAGGAUUUUGAUUCCAGGGAUAUGUUUUUGUCCAGGAGCCAGGAUAAAGUGGACACUAUGAGACAGUCAAGUAGGGUCAGGGCCAGCAGGUGGAUGUGAAGGGUGCAAAGUUCAGGACAGCACUUGUCUACCACCCCAGCCCCAGUGGCCUAGGAAGAAGGAGAGAGCAGCCUGCCGCUAGCCCAGCAUCUCUUCAACUAGGAAGCCUCAGUGACAUCACGUGUGCCAGGGCUGGGCUGCAACCCUGGAGGCUUGAGUGGCUUCCUGUGUCUCAAUGAAGCAGGACUUAUCUGACCCAGAGUAUGCCCUUUGUCCAAGAGAGGGUCCUGAUCUGUCUCACAGUCUUGGAGGUCCAUAUGCUACUCACUAGGAACAGGCCAGGGCAGUUGGAUGAGCAGUAGGCCCCAGCCUGGCCGUGGUCCAGGUGUGGUGUCUGAGACAUGUCUGUAAAAGAGGCAAGGGCCUGCUGGCCUUCUCCAUCCCCAGUGUCAUCUUCCCAAAAUAGGUAUCCUUGUGUGUGGGGGGGGGUAUAUCUUGAGGGCCUCAGCAAGAAAAGCCACACCACCCUGCAGGCCACUUCCUGUUCUCCUCUUGGGGACACCUGCCCUCCUGCUGCACAUACCUGUGCUUUCCUCUGUUGCUCCCUCCAUUGGGUGUGCAGCCCCAUCCUGACAACUUUUUUUUUUCUUCUUCUGGUACUAGGGAUGGAACUCAGAACCUUGCACUUGCCAGGCAGGCACGGCACCACUGAGCUACAUCCCUGGCCCCCAUCCUGACAACUUUAACCCCACAGCUUCUGCAGGUAGUGGAUACCUUCUGGCACCCCAUGUUAGCUAUCAUUUUUUCUUCUACCUGACUCAUCUCUGAUCCCCCUAAAACCUCCACAGUGCCAAAGACCAAUAGCUACCACUCAAGCUAUUUGACCAGGGAACAUCCUGACUGGGAAAUGAGGAACAUGGUGCCCAGGUGGGCCAGCUUCCCACAUCCCUCCCUCUACUGCCCUCCGCACUGCUGUCUGGAGAUAUCUUUCUCUGCUUUCUAGGAGCCCUGUGGCAAUGAGGACAAGUUCUAAGCAUGUGAUUAUGUAUGCUGGGGUCCCUCUUGCCCCUUUGUUGCUGUAGAAUCUGUUGUGGCAAACAAAAGUGCACUGGAUUAGCCACAGUGGAUUAAAAGAUUUUCUUCUCAGAGUUUACCUAAUAACCUAACAAUCACAUCGACAGCAGCUUUGAACCCCCAGGACGUGCUUGCUGGGCCAGCUGAGAGCCUAAGGCCUCUGUGGGCAAUAGGACUAUGGUCAAUGGUCGCACACACAGCCCUGGUCCACCUCACAGCCAGCUCUGCCCAAACUAGGCCUACGUGUUCUCAGCUCCCAUGGGCCCCUCAGGGCGGAAGUUGAGGAAGUGACCAGACACUAGUAAAAAGUGAAUGCACAAGUGGGGAUCUGGGCCCAGUCAGAACUGCCUUACAGAGGGUGCAGCUAUCAGGUAACAGGCCUUACCUGCGCCUGGCUCGGCCCCCUGAACGCAUCCAUGCAUGUCAUACAUAGCCGCAAGGACAUGAGCUACAUGGAAGGUGGCCACAGAGGGGAGGGGACACACUAGGCCUCCUGCUGUGGUGCUCAGCCCCUCUGUUGUCACCCCACAGUACAUACUUCUGCACCACACAUGCACACGCACACACGUGCACGCGCAUGCACACAGACAAGCAUGCCUGCCUUUGAUCUCCAAAGGGGAUCCCAUUGACAGGCUCUUAAUCGCAGCUGCUAGCAGGGCCUGUGCUCUGAAGUCCGAGUAAUGGGAUUUGGCGCUUCUGAUCCAUCUAGGCUGGCUGCUCCCCCAUUAUAGGUGGACAAUUUUUUUCUUCCUAUUGCUUCUUUUUCUUUUUUUAUCCUUCUUGAAAACAACAAAAAAGCUCCUUAAAUCAUGCCGACGUGACAUGGCUUUUCACAGAGCCCAGGCAUGUUGGCCAGGACACAGAGGACCCAGGCCAGUCAGGGGGUCUUUGAUGCCGCCUCUGUGUGAAAUCGGACAUGGGAGACCUACCAGGGCGGUUUUCAGGUCUGUGGUGUGCUGGGGUUCAUUCCACCUCCUGCUCUUUCCUUUGUCUCUUCCCCUGACCCUACUUGGGAUGUUUUGGGAGAGGGUUCGAGGGCA
rnacentral:lncRNA from 1 species